UAUAUUAGUAUCUUAUCAUAAAAGAAAGGUUAGCAUUUUUUCAAGCCUUCAAAAAAAGGCUUCACUUUUCUUGUCUUGAAACCAAAGAUCAACAGAACGUUUAGCAUUUUUUAAGAUUUCAAAAAAGCUUCACUCUUCUUGUCUUGAAAACAAAAGCUAACAGAACGUUAGAAACAGUACAGCUUAAGCCUACAAAAUGUUAGCAACAAGACUUUUGCAAUCAAAUUCUCCUACGAGAAUAUUAUACGGAGUUUUCCCUACUCCAGGUAUGUUAAGGUCAUCCCUUCUUUCUUUUGGCAUGGUUCAGUUUUCAUAAACGACUCUAUUCAUAGAAAUACUAGGGGUCUCUGUGUUCUUGAUUCCCCAUGUGACAUAUUAUUAUAUCUUCUGUUCAUGGGUCUCAAAAGGACACGCAGUUGAUAAAGUUUAUCCGAAAAGAAUAUUGAAAUUUUUAACAUAUUUUCAUGCAUUUUAUUCAUUUGUGCAUUUACAUUGACUCAUGACUAGACAGCGUUAUAUAUGCAUAUUUAUAUGUAUAUACUUAUGUAUAUGGUAUAUGAGAAAAAAGUUACGGCGUUAUAUACGCACCACCACCUGAUUAGUUGGUAUAUGUUGAUGAUGUUGCCCACAAUGGCCGAUAUGAUAUGAUGGGAUGCCCUCAUUGGCUUGAUGAUGUUAUGUACACCUAUACCCAUGCAUGACAUGACAUUUAUAUGCACGUGCAUGACAUUAUAAAUGUUUCAGCAUUUACAAAGUUAUUCAGAUUUACAGAUGGAUUUCUUUAUUCCAUGUUUCAUCAAUGCCUUUUUCGUGCAGAUUUUCAUGCCUUACAUACUCAGUACAUUUUUUGUACUGAAGCCCUAUUUCACGGGGCCUGCAUUUCAUGCCCGGAGGUGCAGGUAGGCAAGUUGAUGGUCCCCCUUCUUAGGAUCCUUAAUCAGCGAGAGUUGGCGUGCUCCACUUUAUCCGGAGCUGCUUUUGAUUUUGGUAUGAUAUGCUUGUAUACAUAUGGGUAUGACGUGGCUCAGUCCCGUCUUUGUACAUUUGUAUUUCUAUUAGAGGUCUGUAGAUAGUUAUGUGCAGUUGGAUAGUAUGUGGCCUUUCCGGCUUUCAGUUUUGGGGAUAUAGUUAUCUAUCACGGCCUUGUCGGCUUGCACACUAUAAUCCGCAUGUAUACGUAUAAAUGUCUUUUGGACAAGUUUCCUUCAUGUAUGUUAUUCUCGUAAUUCAGCAGAUAUUAAUCAUGGUUAGAGC
rnacentral:lncRNA from 1 species